rnacentral:rRNA from 1 species
UACGUAGGGGGCAAGCGUUGUUCGGAAUUACUGGGCGUAAAGGGCGCGUAGGCGGCACAGCAAGUCGGGAGUGAAAGCCCGGGGCUCAACCCCCGGAACUGCUUUCGAAACUGCUGAGCUAGAGUACAGAAGGGGCAGCCGGAAUUCCCAGUGUAGCGGUGAAAUGCGUAGAUAUUGGGAAGAACACCUGAGGCGAAGGCGGGUUGCUGGGCUGAUACUGACGCUGAGGCGCGAAAGCCAGGGGAGCAAACGGG